rnacentral:rRNA from 1 species
ACUCCUACGGGAGGCAGCAGUGGGGAAUAUUGCACAAUGGGGGAAACCCUGAUGCAGCCAUGCCGCGUGUGUGAAGAAGGCCUUCGGGUUGUAAAGCACUUUCAGUAGGGAGGAAGGUAGUGUAGUUAACACCUGCACUAUUUGACGUUACCUACAGAAGAAGCACCGGCUAACUCCGUGCCAGCAGCCGCGGUAAUACGGAGGGUGCGAGCGUUAAUCGGAAUUACUGGGCGUAAAGCGCAUGCAGGCGGCCUGUUAAGUCAGAUGUGAAAGCCCGGGGCUUAACCUCGGAAUUGCAUUUGAAACUGGCAGGCUAGAGUCUUGUAGAGGGGGGUAGAAUUUCAGGUGUAGCGGUGAAAUGCGUAGAGAUCUGAAGGAAUACCAGUGGCGAAGGCGGCCCCCUGGACAGAUACUGACACUCAGAUGCGAAAGCGUGGGGAGCAAACAGGAUUAGAUACCCUGGUAGGAUAGCG